rnacentral:rRNA from 1 species
CUGUGCAAAGGUAGCAUAAUCAUUAGUUUUUUAAUUGAAGGCUUGUAUGAAGGGUCUGACAAAGAAAAAGCUGUCUUUAAUUUUAUUUUUGAAAUUAACUUUUAAGUGAAAAGGCUUAAAUAGAUUUAAGGGACGAUAAGACCCUAUAAAUCUUUAUAUUAAAUUAUUAUCUUGGAUUUUAAUAAUUUGUCUAGAUUUGACAAGUAAAAUAAUAAAUAUUUUGUUGGGGUGACGAGAAUAUAAAAAUAACUGUUCUUUUAAAAAACAAAGUUGUUUGUAAAAAAAAAUUAUAGAUCCUUUAUAAAGAUUAAAAGUUUAAGUUACUUUAGGGAUAACAGCGUUAUUUUUUUUGAGAGUUCUUAUCGAAAAAAAAGUUUGCGACCUCGAUGUUGAAUUAAAAUUUCUCUACGGUGAAGAAGUUGUAGAAGAGAGUCUGUUCGACUUUUAAAUUUUU